AUUGUAUUUUUAAGAGGUUUCUACUUUCAAUUCGAAAGUCGAUCAGGUUUGGUAUUUUUGAGUAAUGAAAUUAUUAAUUUGAAAAUAAAACAUUUAAUUUCAGAAUGAAAUUCAUAACUGAAAAUUGUAAUAUUGAAAGUCAACACUUUUCAAAUAAAUGUUUUAAAAAUCUCAAAUGAAUUUGCUGUUUCUUCAACAUUUGGCAACACUUGCAUUAAAUAAAAGUUUUUUGGCAACUGAAUGAACCAAGGAAUGAACUGUCAACGGAACUUGCGAGUAUUUUUCGUCGAUUACCAUGUUGAAGUGGCUGCGCAACUGUUUUCCCAACAAUUCCGGAACAUCAUUGAUCCAACCAUCCAACGGCUAUUUUGCAAUGCCAUGGUUCGACAACAAUUCUAUGGAGACGAUGGUAUACGGUAAUAAAAAGAUCUAUUCAACAACUGGAACUGAUUCCCAGUAGAUAAGCAAAAAUGGCCGAUUCAAAUGAAGCAAACUUCAGUGUCGAUUCCUUCUGUCCGACCGGCGGGAUACAGGACAAUUGUGACUACUUGCCGAUGGCCGCAGUACAAAAACCUCGACAAAAACACAUACCAAGAGUAACUUGAAAAUUGACGGAGAUGCAAAAGAUUACCACAAACUUGAGAAUAAAAUUUCAAAGCCAUAUGUAUAAGCAAAAUAACAUAAGAAAAUAAAACAAAAAGAAUCGCUUUUAGAUACAAAA